CAAAACAUACUUCGUGAAACCCUAUCACCAUCGAAGCCGUUCGCUUUCAUCACCAUAUUCGUUAACCCAUCCGACCAGAGCUUCAUCCUUUCACCGGUGAAACCCUAUCACCAUGUGAAACCCCUUUUCUCAAACGCUUCACCAUCGAUUCAUCUCUACUACGUUCAUCCAUCACCAACUUCCAGCCUUUGAAAUUAAACAAACACACACAUUCAGAAUAAGAAUAAGAAGAAGUUGAGGUGAAGAGCAAGCAUAAAGAUAACAAGAUAAGAACCGGACCGGAAUCACUUCGAUUGCAUUUAUUUGAAGUUGUUGAUCGAAGAGCGAAGCUGGCUGCCAGGGACAUAGCGGAAGAACAAUCUGAUUCCAAGUCUCCAGGAAAACAAGAAGCGGUUAUUUUUCCUAGUUAAAUGAUUGUACCCGUGGGUUCAACGCUUUUGGUUCUUGAAGUGUGGUUACUACUUGGUGCUGUUUUUGUUGUCGUUUCUUUUUUUAGGUGUUUUAUUUUGAUAAUAUGACUUUGUGUUUUAGGAUUUAGAUUAAAUUACUCUUAGAUGGAAUGCAUGCAUUUACAAAUUUGGCUAUGCAAAUGCCCUCUUUUUUUUAAGCACAGUAAAUACUCUCUAUAUGUUAUGAUAUUUGUAAACAAGAGGAUUUGGUUUAAUAUGUUAUUUGGUAUUGAUGGAUCAUAAUAUGUAUGCAAUGAGUAACUUAAAGUGUUAUUUGGUAUUGAAUUAAAUGUAUAUUUUUGAUAUUUGCACACCAAUAGAAUGAUUUU